AAAGGAAUAGACGGGGGCCCGCACAAGCGGAGGAACAUGUGGUUUAAUUCGAUGAUACGCGAGGAACCUUACCCGGGCUUGAAAGACGCUUGCAUGGAGCAGAGAUGUUCCUUUGUAGUAAUACACCAGCGUCUAGGUGCUGCAUGGCUGUCGUCAGCUCGUGCCGUGAGGUGUCGGGUUAAGUCCCAUAACGAGCGCAACCCCUACCUCCAGUUGCCAGCGGGUAAAGCCGGGGACUCUGGAGGGACUGCCGCCGCAAGGUGCGAGGAAGGCGGGGAUGACGUCAAGUCAGCACGGCCCUUACGUCCGGGGCCACACACGUGUUACAAUGGCAGGUACAGAGGGCAGCCAGGCGGCGACGCUGAGCCAAUCCUAAAAACCUGUCCCAGUUCGGAUCGGAGUCUGCAACCCGACUCCGUGAAGCUGGAUUCGCUAGUAAUCGCGCAUCAGCCAUGGCGCGGUGAAUACGUUCCCGGGCCUUGCACACACCGCCCGU
rnacentral:rRNA from 1 species